CCGUCGCUACUACCGAUUGAAUGGCUCAGUGAGGCGUCCGGACUGGCCCAGAGAGGUGGGCAACUACCACUCAGGGCCGGAAAGCUCUCCAAACUCGGUCAUUUAGAGGAAGUAAAAGUCGUAACAAGGUCUCCGUUGGUGAACCAGCGGAGGGAUCAUUACCGAGUUUACAACUCCCAAACCCCUGUGAACAUACCACUUGUUGCCUCGGCGGAUCAGCCCGCUCCCGGUAAAACGGGACGGCCCGCCAGAGGACCCCUAAAACUCUGUUUCUAUAUGUAACUUCUGAGUAAAACCAUAAAUAAAUCAAAACUUUCAACAACGGAUCUCUUGGUUCUGGCAUCGAUGAAGAACGCAGCAAAAUGCGAUAAGUAAUGUGAAUUGCAGAAUUCAGUGAAUCAUCGAAUCUUUGAACGCACAUUGCGCCCGCCAGUAUUCUGGCGGGCAUGCCUGUUCGAGCGUCAUUUCAACCCUCAAGCACAGCUUGGUGUUGGGACUCGCGUUAAUUCGCGUUCCUCAAAUUGAUUGGCGGUCACGUCGAGCUUCCAUAGCGUAGUAGUAAAACCCUCGUUACUGGUAAUCGUCGCGGCCACGCCGUUAAACCCCAACUUCUGAAUGUUGACCUCGGAUCAGGUAGGAAUACCCGCUGAACUAA
rnacentral:misc_RNA from 1 species